GUUGCUCGCUGCCAAAGGUGAAGACCAUCCACGUGCUUGUUCAUCGCCCCUCCUCCCUGUAUCCCACCGCCGCCCUUCCUGGAUCCCGCUGCCGUGCUCCGCCUCGACCCACUUGCCCGGUGUACCUUUCUGCCACUACCGCAUGUUUCCUCCCUGCUCCGGUCGGCUCGGAUUGAAGGUCGCCGCGGGCUGCGGCCCCGCGUCCCUGCAUCCCCACCGCUGCCGCGCAACCACUAGACGCACUGCACUAGCACGCGCUUCCUCCCUCUUCCAUCUAUGGCCGCACCGCCUGUGACUGCCUGUGAAGUUCGGCAUGGCCAACCGAUUCAGUUUGAUUUGUGUGUGCUCACUGCGUAGGUCGCUAUCCCUCAAUCCUACCAAGCUGCAGCAUCAACCACCUUCCCUCUGACCUGUGCGCAUGUGUGAUGUCGACCUUCUACUUCAUUGAUUUACCUAUAUUUCUCUUACACUUGUUUCCUGGGCGUAUGUGAAGUCUGGUUUACAUGGAUGAUGGUGCAAAAUUGGCCUCUUAGCAGAUGAGACGUUGCUCUUCAUCGUGAUUGGCACGAGGAAUAUCCAAAGCAGCCUAAUAAAAGGUGCAUAGUAUAAAUGCCUCUCUAGUUCAUCAAAUCUCUCUGCUGCCAGCGUUAACUGCCAUUAAUUUUUACUGCUCCCUUCUGUAGAAGAAAUGGACGGGAUGUUUGACAUUGUUGCCGCGGAUGUAGGCAUCUGCUGGACAAAUUGCAUCAUGUAUCACCCCCUAACAUGUAGCCACUCCACCAUGGACUGCAGCUAUGCGGUGCGGGUGCUCAAUUUGGCUACGGGUUCUGCUAUAAUUUCUGAAGUGUUUCUGUGUUGGUGCUAUGAGGUGAAUUGUGGCAAUUUCGACAUUGACUACAGUUAACUUAUAGUCCAAAACACCUUGUUUGUAGCGUAUGUGUUCCACUGAG
rnacentral:lncRNA from 1 species